GUUGAAUCAUUGGUUCCGAUACGAUCACCGAAGUUAAGCAAUAUCUACCCACGUCAGUACCUAGAUGGGUGACUGCUUGGGAAUACCAGGUGCUGUAUG